rnacentral:tRNA from 1 species
GCCCAGGUGGUGGAAUUGGUAGACACACUAGAUUCAGGGUCUAGCGCCGCGAGGCAUGGAGGUUCGAGUCCUCUCCUGGGCA